rnacentral:rRNA from 1 species
UACGAAGGGGGCUAGCGUUGUUCGGAAUUACUGGGCGUAAAGCGCGCGCCGGCGGUUUUUCACGUCAGUGGUGAAAGCCCGGAGCUCAACUCCGGAACUGCCAUUGAAACUGUAAAACUUGAGGACGAGAGAGGUGAGUGGAAUUCCCAGUGUAGAGGUGAAAUUCGUAGAUAUUGGGAAGAACACCGGUGGCGAAGGCGGCUCACUGGCUCGUAUCUGACGCUCAGGCGCGACAGCGUGGGGAUCAAACAGG